rnacentral:piRNA from 1 species
AGCGUUAACAGGAGCACAGGCACCUUAAG